rnacentral:lncRNA from 1 species
CUCUUGGUAUUCAGUGAAAUCUUUAUAUCCCUUACAGUCCUCAGUCUUCAGGAAAGGUAGAAUGGACUAAAGAUCUUUUAAAAACACACCUCACCAAGCUCAGCCACCAACCUAAAAAGGACUAGACAAUACUUUUACCACUUUCCCUUCUCAGAAUUCCGGCCUGUCCUCAGAAUGCUACAGGGUACAGCCCAUUUAAGCUCCUGUAUGGACGCUCCUUUUUAUUAGGCCCAGUCUCAUUCCAGACACCAGACCAACUUGGACUGUGUCCCAAAAAACACUUGUCAUCCCUAC